CAAUCUUUUAUUUCUUUGUAAGUCUGUUAAUCUUCUGUAUCGAAUGAACUCUGUAGAAUCUUCCAUCACAGUUUGCAGAUCAGAUGAAAAGUCUCUUUCCAACAGUCGAUGUCCAGUUGUCUGAAGGAAUACUUUCCUGAUUUAUUGCCACAAGGAUCUGUCACGCUUUACCUACAUUAAAACAAAAAAACAUGUGCAGCAUCAAUACAAUGGCUUACAAUGUUUAUAUCUCAUUAUUAUUACACAGUUUAACAUUGAAUUAUAUUGACUACACAAAACAUACUCAUAUCCUCUCAUGAGAUCUACCAUCUAGUGGUCAUUACAUCUAUGCCAUGUGAUGUAUAAUCUUUAAAUUUCCUUAUAUUAAAAUCUUUCUGAACAUGUAAAUUCUCAAUUCUCAAACUUUUUAUUACUCAUACCCCCCUUUUAAACUGUUUAAUAAUCUGGAGGUAUAACCUAAUCACAUAUCAGAUGUUACAACAAAAUAUUGUUUUCCACUAUACUUUAGCUAUAGUAGCCAUUUUGUCUUAACACUGUCACCAUUUUGUCUCAGGAAACAAACUACAAAAACAUAUAUUGUUUCCUACAUCAAAUGUAUUUGUAAAUCUAGGUUUUAUCCUAUCAAAACUUUUGUCUUCUAUGUAGUCAAAACAUAUGUAUGUCCAGGCUUUGCAAAAUAUAGUAAUCCAUUAUCAGUCAUGACAUUAAAAUCUCAUUCUCAUGAAUUAAAUCAAAGAUUUUAAAUCAACCUCAGAAGUAACAACAUUGUUUUUUCCUUCUGUAAAAUGAUUGGAGUUACUGUAUUAUUGCAUACACCCAAUAUAACAUACAUUGCAUGUUCCUAACUGCUACAUUAGUGUAUUUCAUUCUGUCAUAUUUGCAAACUUGAUGUAAAUUUUUAUUUCCAUUAAUUAACCUAAUACUUUCUUAUAACACACAUAAAACAAUGAAAAAACAGUUCAGACUAACAAUUCAUUAAAAC